rnacentral:rRNA from 1 species
UGCAGUCGUACGCUUCUUUUUCCCCGGAGCUUGCUCCACCGGAAAAAGAAGAGUGGCGAACGGGUGAGUAACACGUGGGUAACCUGCCCAUCAGAAGGGGAUAACACUUGGAAACAGGUGCUAAUACCGUAUAACAAUCGAAACCGCAUGGUUUUGAUUUGAAAGGCGCUUUCGGGUGUCGCUGAUGGAUGGACCCGCGGUGCAUUAGCUAGUUGGUGAGGUAACGGCUCACCAAGGCCACGAUGCAUAGCCGACCUGAGAGGGUGAUCGGCCACAUUGGGACUGAGACACGGCCCAAACUCCUACGGGAGGCAGCAGUAGGGAAUCUUCGGCAAUGGACGAAAGUCUGACCGAGCAACGCCGCGUGAGUGAAGAAGGUUUUCGGAUCGUAAAACUCUGUUGUUAGAGAAGAACAAGGAUGAGAGUAACUGUUCAUCCCUUGACGGUAUCUAACCAGAAAGCCACGGCUAACUACGUGCCAGCAGCCGCGGUAAUACGUAGGUGGCAAGCGUUGUCCGGAUUUAUUGGGCGUAAAGCGAGCGCAGGCGGUUUCUUAAGUCUGAUGUGAAAGCCCCCGGCUCAACCGGGGAGGGUCAUUGGAAACUGGGAGACUUGAGUGCAGAAGAGGAGAGUGGAAUUCCAUGUGUAGCGGUGAAAUGCGUAGAUAUAUGGAGGAACACCAGUGGCGAAGGCGGCUCUCUGGUCUGUAACUGACGCUGAGGCUCGAAAGCGUGGGGAGCAAACAGGAUUAGAUACCCUGGUAGUCCACGCCGUAAACGAUGAGUGCUAAGUGUUGGAGGGUUUCCGCCCUUCAGUGCUGCAGCUAACGCAUUAAGCACUCCGCCUGGGGAGUACGACCGCAAGGUUGAAACUCAAAGGAAUUGACGGGGGCCCGCACAAGCGGUGGAGCAUGUGGUUUAAUUGGAAGCAACGCGAAGACCCUUACCAGGUCUUGACAUCCUUUGACCACUCUAGAGAUAGAGCUUCCCCUUCGGGGGCAAAGUGCCAGGUGGUGCAUGGUUGUCGUCAGCUCGUGUCGUGAGAUGUUGGGUUAAGUCCCGCAACGAGCGCAACCCUUAUUGUUAGUUGCC